rnacentral:rRNA from 1 species
GUUUCCAGAGGAAGGCUCGUCCGCUCUGGGUUAGUCGGGUCCUAAGCUGAGGCCGACAGGCGUAGGCGAUGGAUAACAGGUUGAUAUUCCUGUACCACCAUUAUUCGUUUUAAGCGAUGGGGGGACGCAGUAGGAUAGGCGAAGCGUGCUGUUGGAGUGCACGUCCAAGCAGUGAGAUUGAGUGUUAGGCAAAUCCGGCACUCUUAAGAUUGAGCUGUGAUGGGGAGAGGAACUUGUUCCUCGAGUCGUUGAUUUCACACUGCCGAGAAAAGCCUCUAG